rnacentral:lncRNA from 1 species
AACCCGGGAAAAAACAAGAAACCCAUUCCAUCCUCCUUUCCAGGCCUUCGCCCGCCCGAGACCCGCCGUCUCCCGGAGGGAGGAAUUAGUGAAACUCCAUCACCUCAGUGGCUGUGUUACCAUGACUGACUGAAUUUGUGUAAUUGUUCAACCAUGAGUCUACCAGCCUUGUCAUAAGAAACAACAACAACCCACUGACAACUCAUCUGGAAAAUCACUGCUCUGUUCAAGUCAUUUACACAGCACAAGAAAUCUCCGGCAAUGUGCCCAGAAGUUCUCGGGGAUAACGGGCUCAGCUGCGAAGUUCUUCCUUGAGCAUCUGAAUUUGGUUGUGGUCAGAUGGUGGAUAAAGCUGGACUUAUCUGAAUCUUCUUUCGUCACAUGUCUGGAGUGUCUGGAGUGGCUGGAAAACAGCUUCCUCACAAGUUGGCCAAGUGGCUGGAAGUCCACCUACAAUGGGCAUGCCGUCCUGGAACAUCUCUCUUCUCUAUCUUGGAUUCGGUUCUAUGUCCCCCUAUGUUAUUGGGGACAGAAUUGUGCCCAGACAAGAAAAUGAUGUUUCCCAGCCUCCCCUGCAGCUGAGUGGGGACAACCAUUGAGAUGCCGUUGCAGGGCUCCGCUUUGGAGCGGGCAUUGGAGGAAUUCUUUGACCACCAAGCAGCCUCCAUACCUCCCUCCUACAUAACAGAGCCACCGAGAGGCUGUUUGCAUUCUGCCUGCUUUCUCUUUUUCCGUUGCAGUAGUUUAUUAAUUAGUGUGCAAAAAAUAAAAAGGAGGUAAUAACCUUAUUUAUGUGCUAGUCCACGUGUUCAGUGUGCUCAUUUUUUCUGCAGCCUGGCAUCGGGAACCGGAACGUUUGGCCCCAGGAGAGGGGGCCGGGACCCUGGGUGCCAGAAUCUUACAGUGCGGAGGCGACAGGCCAACGCAGUUCCUUCCUUUUCCUCCCUCC